UACAGAGGGUGCGAGCGUUAAUCGGAAUUACUGGGCGUAAAGCGUGCGCAGGCGGUUUUGUAAGUCUGUCGUGAAAUCCCCGGGCUCAACCUGGGAAUUGCGAUGGAGACUGCAAGGCUAGAAUCUGGCAGAGGGGGGUAGAAUUCCACGUGUAGCAGUGAAAUGCGUAGAGAUGUGGAGGAACACCGAUGGCGAAGGCAGCCCCCUGGGUCAAGAUUGACGCUCAUGCACGAAAGCGUGGGGAGCAAACAGG
rnacentral:rRNA from 1 species